UAUUUUCAGCUACCAAAAUUCGUAGCUCAUCUUCCUCCUUCAAACCAAACCAAGAAAAUGUUUUAAAAACCAUAUCUUACUCGUUUUUUAUCCGAAUUGAGCGAUUCUUGCGGCUACGGAAUGAGGAAAGGAUCCUCUACUGAUAUAUAGCUUUAAUUUGAGGUGUUUAUAAGCUUUCAUGGAGCAAUUUUGAUGACGAAUCUUGCAGCUAGACCCUUCAAAUUUGAGACUUCAACCAAAGUGAGAAACUUGAAUAUGUCCUCUACAAUUGUCUAGCUUUAAGUUGUCUCUAAUUCUGCCUCUAAGAUGCUCCAAUCAAACAGAACAUUCUAUUGCUCAAAGCAGUUCUGCAUUUAGGACAGUCCAAGGUGUUAACUUAAGGGCUAGAUUCCGACACCUUCAGACCCAACGAGGAGAAUACCGAUGGAGCAUGGAACUCGAGGAUCGAGAGUAAUGCUUUGUUUAAAGUAUAUGGAUAGCAAGUGGGACAUCAUGAUAUGAUUUGGAGAGUCAAACUUCCGAAGUUCUAAUUCUCGGAAGUGAUUUGUACAAGAAGAAAAAGAAGGUUUUUAGGCUUGCUACGGGAUUUGGAGCUACCACUCCCAUUCCCUAGCGCCGGUCGCGGCUCAUAAAUUUGGGUCGUGACA